CUCCGGAACAUUUCCCCUCCUUCUUGUGCAUCGUUCAAACGGUAGUUUCAGUUUUAUGUCCCCCUGAGAAGCCCUACACAAGUAUCGCAGCCACCUGUUAUUUUUCUUUUUCUGUCUCCAGAGCUCUUCCUCUUUCACCCUGCACCUUGCUGCUUAUCAGUUCUGGUUAAGCCCCUACAAUUCCUUCAACAUUAGUGUUACUUGUGGAAGCAACCUGAGUGUCCUCUGGGAGAGUGGACAGGUGAAUCAUGAUGGUGAACACCAUGGACUUAUUUGGAGAACACAGAAGGAACAGAUUAGAUGUAUCACAGAGCAACACGGAUGCUCUCAAAAACACGCACAGGCACAUCUGAUCUUACUAUAAUAAUGGCAAAAUAUUCUUAGAGACAUGGACACUAGGAAGAUGCCAUCUGAAGAUGAAGGCAGAGGUGUUGGGAUGAUGCUUCAUUAAGCCAGGAAACAUCAAGGACUGCCAGCAAACCACCAGAAGCUAGGAAGAGACAUGGAAUAGAUUCUCUGCACUGCCCGUAGAAGGAACCAUCCUUGCCAACAUCUUCAUCUUGGACCUCUGGCCCACAGAACUAAGACAAUAAAUUUCUGUUAUCUAAGUCA